ensembl:snRNA Rnu6-210 RNA, U6 small nuclear 210
UCUGCUUUGGCAGUGAAUAAUAAAAUUGGGACAAUACAAAGAAGAUUAGCACUGGCCUCUAUGAAAAGAUGAUGUGCAAAUUUGGGAAGCAUUCCAUAUUUUU